AGCAGCCGCGGUAAUUCCAGCUCCAAUAGCGUAUAUUAAAGUUGCUGCAAGUUAAAAAGCUCGUAGUUGAAUUUCGGGACCAUCAUGUCGGUCGUGCCUCGGUACGUACUGGCAUUGUUGGUUUCUACCUUCUGAAGAACCUCGAUGUCAUUAAUUUGGUGUCUUGGGGAAUCAGGACUGUUACUUUGAAAAAAUUAGAGUGUUUAAAGCAGGCUCGCGCUUGAAUACAUUAGCAUGGAAUAAUGAAAUAGGACGUUUGAUUCUAUUUUUGUUGGUUUCUAGGAUUGACGUAAUGAUUAAUAGGGAUAGUUGGGGGCAUUAGUAUUCAAUUGUCAGAGGUGAAAUUCUUGGAUUUAU
rnacentral:rRNA from 1 species